GUACGGGUCCUGUGCGACGAAGCUCCGUGAACCAUGUCAGGCGGGGAACCGAGCAGCAUUAAGCGGUACGUUUUGUGCGCCGCGGGUAAUCUGUGCAUC
rnacentral:SRP_RNA from 1 species